ACCAACCUAAAAAAAAAAAUGGAGAAAACUUAUCAGCUUAAAUUGGCUUGCUUGGUUGUUCUUCUCUUAGUUGCUUCUUCUGGUAUAUAUUUUAAUCUCCUUUUCUUUAUCUUAAUUAUUUUAUUUUAUUUUAUCUUAUCCCAAAUGCUUCUUGCUAACAAUUACAAUUACAAUAUUAAUUUAAUUUACUAUACAUUAUUGUGUUCUUUUGAACAAAUUGAAAAGCUCAUCUUUAAUUUAGUCCUCAGAACUCAUGAAAUCAAAACAAAUUUAAUUUAUUUAGGUUUAUCCAAAGCUUGCGAACACGACGAGGACUGCAAAGAUAUAUGUGAAGGUUUUAAAGGCUAUUGCAACAAAAAGCAAGGAAAAUGUGUUUGCGAGGGAGGAAAGUUUGCAGAAAAAUUCUCUCCUGGUCAUCACUCCAAAAGUGACAACAAUUAAUAUGAAUUUGAUGAAAAUAUGUUGAACAUCAAC
rnacentral:lncRNA from 1 species